UACGUAGGGUGCGAGCGUUAAUCGGAAUUACUGGGCGUAAAGUGUGCGCAGGUGGCUUCGCAAGUCGAGUGUGAAAGCCCCGGGCUUAACCUGGGAAUUGCGCUCGAAACUACGGGGCUGGAGUAUGGCAGAGGGAGGUGGAAUUCCACGUGUAGCGGUGAAAUGCGUAGAGAUGUGGAGGAACACCAAUGGCGAAGGCAGCCUCCUGGGCCAAUACUGACACUCAUGCACGAAAGCGUGGGGAGCAAACAGG
rnacentral:rRNA from 1 species